UGACGUCAGCUUAGCCUAGCGAGCUGUUAUUAGUGGUCAUGGGCCUGUGCUUGUCAAGAAUGAAUUCCUCCAAGGUGCUGUGCUCCAUUUCGCAACACGCAGUAUCACUUAUCAUUCACAGUCUCCCUCUGUUAGUUUUGUCCAUUUGUCGGCUGAAAUGCUGAUGAUAGCAACUACAAAGUAGGCGGAAUGUGAGCAGCGAGCUGAGCUGCCAGUCAGCUUGUUACCUGCGAACAUG